GUCCACGCUUUUGCAAUUGUCUUCUUCAUUUCGUCAUCACCUUCCUCGUACAUAUUCUGCAAUCACCAUAUCAUUGGGUAAUCAUGAGUGUUCAUCAGCAAAUAUAGAUGUGAGCAAAACCUACUUCGCCAAAAGUGCAGAGACAUGCCUAUGAUGCCUUUCUUCUCUCUGGCC